UCUCAGAUAUUGUAUCUCAGCAUAUUCAUCUCAUUCUCCGUUUCCGACCGACCUGUCCGUCUCCAUCUCCGAUCGCCACCGUCUUCCUCCACUCCGAUCGACCUUGUUGUCUUCCAAGUCCGAUUGUCCUAUUUCCUCCCUUUCCGGUCGAUAUUGCCUUCCUCAAUCUCCAAUUGAAAUCGCCAGUCCCCUCAAUCUCCAAUCGAUCCCUCAUCUACUCUUUGUGUUUGAUGGAUCUAUGUUCUUUCAUCCUCCUUCUCCCCCUAGUCUUCGAUUAUUGAGCGAUCUCUUAUUUCAGUCCCAAUUCCAAACCCUAGAACAUAGUUUCAUCUUCUUCUUGUUUACUUCAGCGUGGAUAGACUGAUAAGAAUUUUGUUCUUAACAGAGGUUUCAAUUGUGAAAACGGUGGAAAUUGCAAUAGUGUUUUACGUGACAUAAAAAGCUGAAUAAGAUACUAGUUGAAACAAAUAGUUUCAAAUUUUUAUUGAAAACAAAACUUAGUUUUCAUGAUCCAAGUGUAUGUUUGGAUUUACGAUGAGAUUAGUAGAAUUCGAGUGUGCUUCGGAGACUUUUUACAAAAGCUAUACACUUCAGAUCUUCAACAAAAUUAGUGUUAUUAUGGGUACUUUUGCUGACGCUUUUCUUGCCGACCUCGAUGAACUCUCUCAAUAACGAGGCUGAAAUUCCAGUGAGUUUUUAAUUUUGAAUUUUGAAGAAAUUUAUUUUGUAUACAUGAUUAAAUUGAUGAACAAUGUGGGUGGGUUUAUCUAAGGCAGAUAAUGAUUUGGAAAAACUUAACAAUAAUGACUUGGAUAGUGUUUAUAAGUUGCAGAAAAGCCAGAGAUACAUUGAUAUUAUACAGAACGACGCCGUAUGGAGAGUCCAUUAAAAGUGAACUGAGACGGUGAAAGGAUCUGCAGGGUUAUAGAGACGGUCUACAUCCGAGUCAAUUUCGAUUCUCUCUUUUACCCUUCCACACACUUGUUACUCCUAAUACUCGCCACCACUCUUCUUCUCUAUUCUUCAUCCCUAAAUCUCCAACCAUGUCACUUAAGGCUGCUUCUGGUUCUAUACCAAGUGCAGAGAAAAGUAGUAGCUCUGAUGUUGAGGAGGUUGUCAAAUCUGAGACAUACAACAAUAACAUGACAGAAGCCAUGGGUGCUGCCCGACUCCUGAAGAUGUUGAUAAGCUGCGUAAAAUCGGAGUGAAAACUAUAUUUUGAUUACAGCAAGACCCAGACCUAGAGUAUACUGAAUAUAUUUGUUUUAUAUGGUUCAUUUUCAGCAUUUGUGACGUGGUACACUGAUUUAAUCUAAAAAAUGACAUGGUCUUCAAUUAUUAGUAAUUGUAAAUAAAAACCAAAAUUUUCUCGGUUGAUAUGUGUAACUUAAAUAUAAUAAAAGUAAUUGCAAUUUAUAAAAUUGUUUUUUUCUA